rnacentral:rRNA from 1 species
AUUGAACGCUGGCGGCAUGCUUUACACAUGCAAGUCGGACGGCAGCACAGAGAAGCUUGCUUCUUGGGUGGCGAGUGGCGAACGGGUGAGUAACAUAUCGGAACGUACCGGGCAGUGGGGGAUAACUAAUCGAAAGAUCAGCUAAUACCGCAUAUCUUCUGAGGAAGAAAGCAGGGGACCAUUUGGCCUUGCGCUGUUUGAGCGGCCGAUAUCUGAUUAGCUAGUUGGUGGGGUAAAGGCCUACCAAGGCGACGAUCAGUAGCGGGUCUGAGAGGAUGAUCCGCCACACUGGGACUGAGACACGGCCCAGACUCCUACGGGAGGCAGCAGUGGGGAAUUUUGGACAAUGGGCGCAAGCCCUGAUCCAGCCAUGCCGCGUGUCUGAAAGAAAGGGCCCUUUCGGGUUGUAAAAGG